GGUUGGGUAACCUGCGUGCAACGGUGACCACCGGGAUCCUUCGGGGACCUUGGCAAAGGGCUGUCCCCAGAGGGCAAGGCAAAGCAAACGGUUCCGUGAGUCUCCAACUAUUCCGUCACCUCCCGGUGUGUGAACCAGCCUUCGGGGUGUCCACGGUCCUCCGAAAUGCCACUGCGCAUCUCUGCAAGGCCGAGCGCGGCAAGGAAAAGGCUGUUGCAAGAAAGAGCCACGUGUGAAGUCUCGCUUUCAAAGCAGCUCACCUCCUAGCCACCAUUGUGGCUCGCCAUCCCGAGCGGCGGGUUCCUGGUGCAACACGGCAGGCAGUGUGGCGAUUCUCAAAGUGGGGUUCCGGACACCCUGCCGGGGCCCGCUUUGGCGCUAAUCCCAAGACCCUGUGCGUCCACUCGUGCUACCAUGAACGCACGGCGGAGUCACGGGGCUGUGGACGCGUGAUCACACGAGAACCCGGCAGGACGGAGCCCACCCCUCAUCUCUGAUUUGUUGGUUUUAGCAAAUACCGUUAUUUUUCAUUAAAAACAUGUUAACG